rnacentral:rRNA from 1 species
UACAGAGGGUGCGAGCGUUGUUCGGAAUCAUUGGGCGUAAAGCGCUUGUAGGCGGCUUGUUAAGUCGCGUGUGAAAUCCCUUGGCUCAACCAAGGAAGUGCGCGCGAAACUGGCGAGCUGGAGUGCCGGAGAGGGUCGCGGAAUUCCCGGUGUAGAGGUGAAAUUCGUAGAUAUCGGGAGGAACACCAGUGGCGAAGGCGGCGACCUGGACGGACACUGGACGCUGAGACGCGAAAGCGUGGGGAGCAAACAGG